rnacentral:tRNA from 1 species
AUGGAAAGGCGUCUGUAGAAGUGUUGAGUUGUAGCCUCAUUUAUGGGUGGUAUUCCCCCUUUCUAUU